UUGAUAUGAUUGAUACUCUAGAUCUCAAGUUUGAAGCUUAACUGUAUGUUUUACAUUUCUACUUGAGUUUAUUUCUAAAAAAAAUAAACAAAGCGAGUAGCAUGCUACUUUAAUUGCUUUCCAAAAAAAGAAAAAAAAAAUCAUUUAUUAUUAAUUAUUUACUUAGUUGGAUAAUUUGUUAAUAAUUUAAUUAGAUCGGUAAAAACUAGUAAUUAAUUAGUUAAUUAAUAUGAAUAUUAGUUACUAGAUGUGUAAAUCAAACAGUUACUUAUUUAAUAGAUAAUUAAUUAUAAAUAAUAAAUUAAUUGUUCAAGUAGUUAAAUUGAAUAUCUCUUAAUUCAAUAACUUGUUAACUAGUUAGCUAGUUAAUUAGUAAGUUGAUAAGUGAUACAUCACUUAACAACAUUUUUAAUUAUACUACAACAGAAUUAGAUUAUAGGAACACAUUUUUGGGACAUUUAUGUUUAAGUAUCCCAUUUAUGCCAAAAUUUUUUUAAAAAAUCUAUUAAGGACUAAAUAUAAAGCCCAAUCCAAUCAAAAAUAAAAAGUUCCUCUACUCAACCAAUCCCACCCAACCCAUUCGACCCAAUUACAAAUAGAAAAGAAAAAAAAAAAAGGAAAAAUUGAUCACCAUCUCCCCUUCUCCUCCUCCGCUGCCGUAGCGCCGCCAUAGCCGAUGAGGGUUCCUGCGGCUGGAAUUCAGCCGCGAGGAUCUCGCAGGGACAGAGGGUUAUGAUCGCUACUUGCCUCUCUGCCGCAGGUCGCUAGAGGAGUGGGUGCCAAAUAUAAGGCGGCUCCAUAUAUAGCGACCCUACAUAUAGCAACACUUUUAAAAAGUGUCGGUAAUUUAGCAAACAGUACUUUUUUUUAACCUGUAACGACAUUUAAAAGUGUCUCUAUACACCGUUUUUAUUAUAAUGUUAAUUAUAACUUAAUUACUAAUC
rnacentral:lncRNA from 1 species